GCCCCCGUUGUCUAAUGGUUAUGACGUCAGACUUCUACGGAGCAUCGUAUCUGGAGGUUGCGGGUUCGAGUCCCGCCGGGGGUU
rnacentral:tRNA from 1 species